rnacentral:rRNA from 1 species
UAGGGAGUAUUGGUAAUGGACGAAAGUCUGAACCAGCAACGCCGCGUGUGCGAUGAAGGCCUUCGGGUUGUAAAGCACUUUUAGGAGGGAUGAGGAAGGACAGUACCUCCAGAAUAAGCCUCGGCUAACUACGUGCCAGCAGCCGCGGUAACACGUAGGAGGCGAGCGUUAUCCGGAUUUACUGGGCGUAAAGCGCGUGCAGGCGGUACGGUAAGUUGGAUGUGAAAGCUCCUGGCUUAACUGGGAGAGGUCGUUCAAUACUACCGAACUAGAGGAUGGGAGAGGGAGGUGGAAUUCCGGGUGUAGUGGUGAAAUGCGUAGAUAUCCGGAGGAACACCAGUGGUGAAAGCGGCCUCCUGGCCCAUUUCUGACGCUCAGACGCGAAAGCUAGGGUAGCAAACGG